rnacentral:rRNA from 1 species
ACAGUCUCAGUUCAGAUUGUAGGCUGAAAACUCGCCUGUAUGAAGUCGGAAUUGCUAGUAAUCGCGGAUCAGCAUGCCGCGGUGAAUACGUUCCCGGGCCUUGUACACACCGCCCGUCACACCAUGAGAGUCGAUAACACCCGAAGCCUGUAGUCUAACAGCAAUGAGGACGCAGUCGAAGGUGGGAUUGAUAAUUAGGGUGAAGUCGUAACAAGGUACC